rnacentral:rRNA from 1 species
CCUACGGGUGGCAGCAGUGAGGGAUAUUGCACAAUGGGGGAGACCCUGAUUCAGCGACGCCGCGUGUGGGACGACGGUCCUCUGGAUUGUAAACCACUUUCCCCAGGGACGAAUAUGGCGGUACCUGGGGAUUAGGCUCCGUCUAUCUACGUGCCAGCAGCCGCGGUAAUACGUAGGGCGCGAGCGUUGUCCGGAAUUACUGGGUGUAAAGGGAGCGUAGGCGGGGAUGCAAGUUAGGUGUAAAAACUACCGGCUCAACUGGUAGUCGCACUCAAAACUGCAGCUCUUGAGUGAAGUAGAGGCAGGCGGAAUUCGUAGUGUAGCGGUGAAAUGCGUAGAUAUGAGGAGGAACACCAGUGGCGAAGGCGGCCUGCUGGGCUUUUACUGACGCUGAGGCUCGAAAGUGUGGGGAUCAAACAGGAUUAGAUACCCUGGUAGUC